CGGCCUGGUAAAUCCUUUGUGAAAUUGUCCAGCCUAACUGGGCAGCGCGCAAGGGACACUAUCAGGCUCGAGACCGGGAGGAGUCAGAAGUAUUCCAGGGGGAGCGGUAAAAUGUUAUAAUCCCUGGAGGACUACCUGUGGCGAAAGCGUCUGACUAGAACGGAUCUGACGGUGAGGGACGAAAGCCAGGGGAGCGAACCGGAUUAGAUACCCGAGUAGUCCUGGCCGUAAACGCUGCGAGCUAGGUGUUGCGCCAGCUACAUGUUGGUGCAGUGUCGAAAGGAAGCUGUUAAGCUCGCCGCCUGGGAA
rnacentral:rRNA from 1 species